GCCGAAGUGGUGGAACGGCAGACGCGCUAGCUUCAGGAGCUAGUGGGAUCACUCCCAUGGGGGUUCGAAUCCCCCCUUCGGCA
rnacentral:tRNA from 1 species